UACGGGAGGCAGCAGUCGAGAAUAGUCUACAAUGGACGAAAGUCUGAUAGUGCGACGCCGCGUGGAUGAAGAAGCAUUUCGGUGUGUAAAAUCCUUUUCUGUAUGAUCAGAGUUUGUAAGGAGAAUAUUUUUACAAGUGGGAUGUUAGUACAGGAAUAAGCCCCGGCUAACUCCGUGCCAGCAGCCGCGGUAACACGGGGGUGGCAAGCGUUGUCCGGAAUUACUAGGCGUAAAGGGCAAGUAGGUGGAAUUGUAAGUCAGAAGUUAAAGGCACCGGCUCAACCGGUGUACGGCAUUUGAUACUGUCAUUCUAGAGUAAGGUGGGGGAAGACGGAAUUCCCGGUGUAGCGGUGGAAUGCGCAGAUAUCAGGAGGAACACCAGAGGCGAAGGCGGUCUUCUAUACCAUUACUGACGCUAAAUUGGGAAGGUGUGGGUAUCAACCAGCGAUUAGAUACCCUGGUAGUCCACACAGUAAACGAUAUACACUAGGUGUUGGGGGAGAUAAUCCUUCAGUGCCGCAGCUAACGCGUUAAGUUAUCGCCUGGG
rnacentral:rRNA from 1 species